CAGUAGCCACGGUAAUACAGAGGGUGCAAGCGUUAAUCGGAAUUACUGGGCGUAAAGCGCGCGUAGGUGGUUCGCCAAGUUGGAUGUGAAAUCCCCGGGCUCAACCUGGGAACUGCAUCCAAAACUGGCGAGCUAGAGUAUGGUAGAGGGUGGUGGAAUUUCCUGUGUAGCGGUGAAAUGCGUAGAUAUAGGAAGGAACAUCAGUGGCGAAGGCGACCACCUGGACUGAUACUGACACUGAGGUGCGAAAGCGUGGGGAGCAAACAGGAUUAGAUACCCCCGUAGUCCCUGUCUCUUAUAC
rnacentral:rRNA from 1 species